rnacentral:rRNA from 1 species
UACGGGGGGGGCAAGCGUUGUUCGGAAUUACUGGGCGUAAAGGGCUUGUAGGCGGCCAACUAAGUCAGACGUGAAAUCCCUCGGCUUAACCGGGGAACUGCAUCUGAUACUGGAUGGCUUGAGUUCGGGAGAGGGAUGCGGAAUUCCAGGUGUAGCGGUGAAAUGCGUAGAUAUCAGGAGGAACACCGGUGGCGAAGGCGGGUCUCUGGGCCGAUACUGACGCUGAGGAGCGAAAGCUAGGGGAGCAAACAGG